GCUCAGAACGAACGCUGGCGGCAUGCCUAACACAUGCAAGUCGAACGAGAUCUUCGGAUCUAGUGGCGCACGGGUGCGUAACGCGUGGGAAUCUGCCUUGGGGUUCGGAAUAACUCCCCGAAAGGGGUGCUAAUACCGGAUGAUGUCGAAAGACCAAAGAUUUAUCGCCCUGAGAUGAGCCCGCGUAGGAUUAGCUAGUUGGUGUGGUAAAGGCGCACCAAGGCGACGAUCCUUAGCUGGUCUGAGAGGAUGAUCAGCCACACUGGGACUGAGACACGGCCCAGACUCCUACGGGAGGCAGCAGUGGGGAAUAUUGGACAAUGGGCGAAAGCCUGAUCCAGCAAUGCCGCGUGAGUGAUGAAGGCCUUAGGGUUGUAAAGCUCUUUUACCCGGGAAGAUAAUGA
rnacentral:rRNA from 1 species